UAUUUAACAAAGGGGCCUGAAAAUGAAAAUUGAGUGGAAGUAUGUAGGAGGGCAGAGCCAGGCUA